GGUGGUGGAAUGAAGUGCUCUGGUUCAGGUGUAAAUUUCACUAUAACCUGAAGGUAGGGAGGGGCAGUUAUCCUUAGACUCCGUAGGCAAGCACUAAGGUCUUGUAGUGGAUGUGAACUUCGACUAGAAACCAAUUGAGUGUACGGAGGAGCGGGGAGACAUGGGAGAACUUGGGAAGGUUGAACACCAGAUGGGCUGCGGUGUUGUGGAUAAGUUGCAGGGGUUUGAUGGCAGAAACACGGAGCCCAGCCAACAGAGUUGCGGUAUUCCAGACGGAAUAUGACGAGUGCCUGGAUUAGGGCCUGCGCAGCUUCCUGUGUGAGAAAAGUUUGUUGUAGAGCAUGAACCUGCAGGAACGAGUCACUGUUUUGAUGUUUGCAGAGAACGACAGGAUGUUGUCCAGGGUCAGGCCAGGAUUCUUUGCACUCUGGGAGGGGGAGACCGUGAUGGAGAGGUCUUUUCAGAAUGUAAUUUUUUUUUUUUGCUAUGAAGUGGUGUAGCUAACUACUGGAACUACACAUUACUGUUUUUGCAAAAAAAAAUUGUUCAGGACUUCUACAUUCUAAACCCGGACUGCUCAGGGAAACUUGGUCUUCAAGGACAAACUUUGUUUUGCAGGCCCAAGGUCUUCUCUUGGAAGUGCAGGUUGGGACCAACAUGGAUGAGUACCUGCACCAGGCGGAGGUGACGAGACACCACCCAUUUGUGUUGGCUCUUGGAGAAUGCUGACAUUUUGUUUACAGUAAUUAGUGGACAGGCAUUGGAGCAAGGUACACUGCUCGGGGCACUGGAUGUGUGAUUCAAGUCCUAUUAUGUGUUUUGAUAUCAACUUUCCCACUGUGCCCCAGCAUGGGAACUCCUGAAGACCAUAGUGUAUCAGCUGCCAGGAAUGAUACACCCCCCCCCCCCCCAAGCCAUAAGUGUCUCAUUCCAAUGCUAAUAUGCUCUUAAGGUACUUUAUAUCUCUGUUAAAUUGACUUUUCAUUUGUUUUUUAAUGCAUUUGUGCCUGCUUUUUGCUACAGUAUAGUAUGUGGCUUGUUUGCCUUUAGUUCAACUACUGAAGUGUGUUCUGGUACACUUUUAUUCUAUCACAACAAUUGAUUUGAAAAACAAAUGUUACAUUUUGGGGAUUGUAAAAGUGCAUUUAUGAAUGAAAUACAGUUAAGUAAUGAGUCAUUAGUCCAUGUCUUUAGUAGAGUGACCUUCAAAUGUUUUGUGUAACAAUGUUUUAACUCGACCCAAAUGUAGACCAUUAUUGUAUGGCAAAACAGCAUGGUGUGUGCUCUCACCUAAGAUGGCCGACGUGUGUCAGUGAAUGUCAAUAUCUAUUGAUUGGCACUGUCUGAGACAGACCUGUGUUAGUACCAUUUUGAGACUGUGUCACACACACACUUUGUUUUCUCAGAUUGCAAUCGGAGUGUGCACAAUCAAUUUCAACUGAGGUUUUAGUCUGUUUGGACUGUUUGGGUCAUGAAAUAAUAUACAUGAAUUCUAAUAAUCAAUCCCAUCUGAUGAAAUCAUAUCUUGUGAGAAGUUGAAGUUGGAAGUUUACAUACACCUUAGCCAAAUACAUUUAAACUCAGUUUUUAACAAUUCCUGACAUUUAAUUCCUAGAAGAAAUUCCAUGUCUUAGGUCAGUUAGGAUCACCACUUUAUUUUAAGAAUGUGAAAUGUCAGAAUAAUAGUAGAGAAUGAUUUUUCAGCUUUUAUUUCUUUCAUCACAUUCCCUGUGGGUCAGAAGUUUACACACUCAAUUAGUAUUUGGUAGCAUUGCCUUUCAAUUGUUUAACUUGGGUCAAAUGUUUCGGGUAGCCUUCCACAAGCUUCCCACAAUAAGUUUGGUGAAUUUUGGCCCAUUCCUCCUGACAGAGCUGGUGUAACUGAGUCAGGUUUGUAGGCCUCCUUGCUCGCACACGCUUUUUCAGUUCUGCCCAUAAAUCUUCAAUAGGAUUGAGGUCAGGGCUUUGUAAUGGCCACUCCAUUACCUUGACUUUGUUGUCCUUAAGCCAUUUUGCCACAACUUUGGAAGUAUGCUUGGGGUCUUUGUCCAUUUGGAAGACCCAUUUUCUACCAAGCUAUAACUUCCUGACUGAUGUCUUAAGAUGUUGCUUCAAUAUAUCCACAAAAUGUUCCAUCCUCAUGAUGCCAUCUAUUUUGUGAAGUUCACCAGUCCCUCCUGCCACCCCUGUGCUUCACGGUUGGGAUGGUGUUCUUUGGCUUGCAAGCCUCUCCCUUUUUCCUCCAAACAUAAUGAUGGUUAUUAUGGCCAAAUAGUUAUAUUUUUGUUUCAUCAGACCAGAGGACAUUUCUCCAAAAAAUAUGAUCUUUGUCCCCAUGUGCAGUUCCAAACCGUAGUCUGGCUUUUUAUGGCUGUUUUGGAGCAGUGGCUUCUUCCUUGCUGAGCGGCCUUUCAGGUUAUGUCGAUAUAUCACUCAUUUUACUGUGGAUAUAGAUACUUUUGUACCUGUUUCCUCCAGCAUCUUCACAAGGUCCUUUGCUGCUGUUCUGGGAUUGAUUUGCACCAAAAUACGUUAAUCUCUAGAAGACGGAAAGUCUCCUUCCUGGGCGGAAUGAAGGCUGCAUGGUCCCAUGGUGUUUAUACUUGCGUACUAUUGUUUGUACAGAUGAACGUUGUACCUUCAGGUGUUUGGAAAUUGCUCCCAAGGAUGAACCAGACUUGUGGAGGCCUACAAUUUUAUUUUCUGAGGUCUUUGCUGAUUUAUUUUUAUUUUUCCCAUGAUGUCAAGCAAAGAGGCACAGAGUUUGAAGGUAGCCCUUGAAAUACUUCCACAGGUACACAUCCAAUUGACUCAAAUGAUGUCAAUUAGCCUAUCAGAAACUUCUAAAGCCAUGACAUAAUUUUCUGGCAUUUUCCAAGCUGUUUAAAGGCACAGUCAACUCAGUGUAUGUAAACUUCUGACCCACUGGAAUUGUGAUACAGUGAAUAAGUGAAAUAAUAUGUCUGUACACAAAUGUUGGAAAAAUGACUUGUGUCAUGCACAAAGUAGAUGUCCGAGCCGACUUUCCAAGACUAUAGUUUGUUAACAAGAAAUUUGUUGAGUGGGUGAAGAACAAGUUUUAAUGACUCCAACCUAUGUGUAUGUAAACUUCCGACUUCAACUGUAUUUAGACAAUAGGGCUUUGUGCUAUUUAAAUGUUUUAUAUAUUCAUGUACAUUCUCUGACGUGAUGUAUGUUCUGAAAUGCAGGCAAUAAAAAUAUAUAUUUUAAAUUCAACAUUGUGUGUGGGGGGAUGGUAGUGAAGGCAAAAAUAUGCAAGAAAAUGUUAAAUUAGGACGACACUGAAAAUAAGCCAGUAAUAUAGUAUAAUUUACCCAGCUGUUGGGUCAAGCACACAACCCAAGACGCUGGAUAAGAAUCAAAACCCACCCUCACUGGGUUCAAUUACCCCAAUGCUGUUUGUCCAACAGAGACCCAGUGCUGGGUUGUCGAAAUGACCCAAAUUGGGUUAUUUUUA